rnacentral:tRNA from 1 species
GUCCCCAUCGUCUAGCCUGGUCUAGGACACAGGGCUUUCAAUCCUGCAACGCGGGUUCAAAUCCCGCUGGGGACA